rfam:Felis catus isolate Cinnamon breed Abyssinian chromosome E3, whole genome shotgun sequence.
ACCUGGCUAGCUCAGUCAGUAGAACGUGUGACUCUCAAUCUCAGGGUCGUGAGGUCAAGCCCCACGUUGGGUG